rnacentral:rRNA from 1 species
GACGAACGCUGGCGGCGUGCUUAACGCAUGCAAGUCGAACGGAAAGGCCCUGCUUUUGUGGGGUGCUCGAGUGGCGAACGGGUGAGUAACACGUGAGUAACCUGCCCUUGACUUUGGGAUAACUUCAGGAAGCUGGGGCUAAUACCGGAUAGGAGCUCCUGCUGCAUGGUGGGGGUUGGAAAGUUUCGGCGGUUGGGGAUGGACUCGCGGCUUAUCAGCUUGUUGGUGGGGUAGUGGCUUACCAAGGCUUUGACGGGUAGCCGGCCUGAGAGGGUGACCGGCCACAUUGGGACUGAGAUACGGCCCAGACUCCUACGGGAGGCAGCAGUGGGGAAUAUUGCACAAUGGGCGGAAGCCUGAUGCAGCAACGCCGCGUGCGGGAUGACGGCCUUCGGGUUGUAAACCGCUUUCGCCUGUGACGAAGCGUGAGUGACGGUAAUGGGUAAAGAAGCACCGGCUAACUACGUG